CUGCGAAUACCGGAGAAUGUUAUCACGGGAGACACACGGCGGGUGCUAACGUCCGUCGUGAAGAGGGAAACAACCCAGACCGCCAGCUAAGGUCCCAAAGUCAUGGUUAAGUGGGAAACGAUGUGGGAAGGCCCAGACAGCCAGGAUGUUGGCUUAGAAGCAGCCAUCAUUUAAAGAAAGCGUAAUAGCUCACUGGUCGAGUCGGCCUGCGCGGAAGAUGUAACGGGGCUAAACCAUGCACCGAAGCUGCGGCAGCGACGCUUAUGCGUUGUUGGGUA
rnacentral:rRNA from 1 species